GGCACUGUAGCAUAGUGGUUAAGGAUCAGGACUCACAAUCGAAAGGUUGUUGGUUCGAUUCCCCACAGGGGUA